UACGAAGGGGGCUAGCGUUGCUCGGAAUUACUGGGCGUAAAGCGCACGUAGGCGGCUUAUUAAGUCGGGGGUGAAAUCCUGGAGCUCAACUCCAGAACUGCCUUCGAUACUGAUGAGCUUGAGUUCGGGAGAGGUGAGUGGAACUGCGAGUGUAGAGGUGAAAUUCGUAGAUAUUCGCAAGAACACCAGUGGCGAAGGCGGGUCUCUGGGCAAUAACUGACGCUGAGGAGCGAAAGCGUGGGGAGCGAACAGG
rnacentral:rRNA from 1 species